rnacentral:rRNA from 1 species
UACGGAGGGAGCUAGCGUUAUUCGGAAUUACUGGGCGUAAAGCGCACGUAGGCGGCUUUGUAAGUUAGAGGUGAAAGCCUGGAGCUCAACUCCAGAACUGCCUUUAAGACUGCAUCGCUUGAAUCCAGGAGAGGUGAGUGGAAUUCCGAGUGUAGAGGUGAAAUUCGUAGAUAUUCGGAAGAACACCAGUGGCGAAGGCGGCUCACUGGACUGGUAUUGACGCUGAAGUGCGAAAGCGUGGGGAGCAAACAGG